GUGGCUUCCUCUUACGGGACCUCAAGGAGGCGGCGCGCUCCGACCCCAUGCCCCUCUCCCACGACAACGUCCCCCGCAUCGCUCCUUCCCACCAUCGUCCUAUCAAAGAAUUCGACACGACCUAUCGUCCCACAUGCAUGCAGGAAGAACGUCCUUCACCUGGUUUGGGCCUCUGCCUCGAGUGACUCUCAUGGAUCCGCAGUGAGGGGCAUCCUAUCCAACAAGUUCGGUCACUUUGGAGGACCAAACACAGGCCCUCCCGGACGAUUGCUAGUGACUGAACUCCUAACGUAGGAGGAUUCUAAACCCCGCUUUCCAUCUCGAGAAAUUAAAGGUAAAUGAUAGAUCAUGGUUCUGUUCCUCUGCUGAAUUCAUACUAGAUUGAUGUAUACUCACUCUGCUGGAUAAUAGACUCUUUAUAAGCUUCCGUUAGUUAA